UUAACCUUCAUGAUCCGAUUCUCGGUCGUGCUCAUCUCUGAUUUCAACACUUGGAUUUCCGGAUCCAUAAGUACGAACACCAAAAGACAAAAACACUACACUCACACAAUUACAAAUUACACAAAGAAACUGAAAGAUAUUGAACCUGGAUUUGAAGAAGAGAUAUUUAGAGAACCAUAGAUGAGAUUUUUCUUUUACCAUGUGAAUUCCAAAUUGCGGCAU